AGAACUGGCCAGUCUUUUGGGUAUGAAACCCAUUUGGGCGAGAGUAGUACUAGGAUGGGUGACCUCCUGGGAAGUCCUCGUGAAAGGGUUUC
rnacentral:rRNA from 1 species